UACGUAGGGUGCGAGCGUUGUCCGGAAUUAUUGGGCGUAAAGAGCUUGUAGGCGGUUUGUCGCGUCUGCUGUGAAAUCUCAAGGCUCAACCUUGAGCUUGCAGUGGGUACGGGCAGACUAGAGUGUGGUAGGGGAGACUGGAAUUCCUGGUGUAGCGGUGAAAUGCGCAGAUAUCAGGAGGAACACCGAUGGCGAAGGCAGGUCUCUGGGCCACUACUGACGCUGGAGAACGCGAAAAGCGUGGGGAGCGAACAGG
rnacentral:rRNA from 1 species